rnacentral:rRNA from 1 species
GGGCCCGCACAAGCGGUGGAGCAUGUGGUUCAAUUCGACGCAACGCGAAGAACCUUACCUGGGCUCGAACGGCUUCAGACAAUCUCUGGAAACAGGGACUUCUCGCAAGAGACUGGAGUCGAGGUGCUGCAUGGCUGUCGUCAGCUCGUGUCGUGAGAUGUUGGGUUAAGUCCCGCAACGAGCGCAACCCUUGUCCUGUGUUGCCACUCCGCAAGGAAGCACUCUCAGGAGACCGCCAGCGAUAAGCUGGAGGAAGGUGGGGAUGAUGUCAAGUCAUCAUGGCCUUUAUGUCCAGGGCUACACACGUGCUACAAUGGGCGGUACAAAGCGCUGCAAACCCGCGAGGGGGAGCUAAUCGCAAAAAACCGUUCUCAGUUCGGAUUGCAGGCUGCAACUCGCCUGCAUGAAGCUGGAAUCGCUAGUAAUGGCGUAUCAGAAUGAUGCCGUGAAUACGUUCCCGGGCCUU